rnacentral:ncRNA from 1 species
AGAUUUUUUAUCGUGGUUGAUAAUGGCUCGAUGUAAAGGCUGUUGUUAUUUAAUGCGAUAUCCCCGCCGGCUUUGACUUCCCCGCCGGCCAGCGGAAUAUCCAGAUGCAGCGACCCCUGCACCGCGCCGCCGAUCUGUAGCGCUUCAAGCGCGCUCCCCAGCGAGGAUUUCAUCGGCGUCUGUUGGAAAUAAUCACCGAUAUCCGCUCCCUGCCCUUCCAACUCGCCGUCGACCAGCAAAUGUUCCUGGUGAUAAUCAGGGAUGACGGCGCGGAUAUUCCUGCCCUCCACUUUUCCCAACCAGAUUUGCGGCGCCAGCAUCCAUAAGCCGUUAUUGGCAAAAUCAAGAUUGAUAUCCAGCUGCGUUAACGCAGGCCAGCCCGGUUGAAACUCGAAGGUCGAAUUUUUGACCGGCACC